rnacentral:rRNA from 1 species
CGGGGGGAGCAAGCGUUGUUCGGAUUUACUGGGCGUAAAGGGCGCGUAGGCGGUCGUGACAAGUCACUUGUGAAAUCUCCGGGCUUAACUCGGAACGGUCAAGUGAUACUGUCGGACUAGAGUACAGAAGGGGCAACUGGAAUCCUCGGUGUAGCGGUGAAAUGCGUAGAUAUCGAGAGGAACACCUGCGGCGAAGGCGGGUUGCUGGGCUGAUACUGACGCUGAGGCGCGAAAGCCAGGGGAGCGAACGGGAUUAGAUACCCCGGUAGUCCUGGCCUCAAACGAUGAAUGCUUGGUGUCUCGGGUUAUAAAGUCCCGGGGUGCCGUCGCUAACGCUUUUAGCAUUCCGCCUGGGGAGUACGGUCGCAAGACUG